ACAGAGGUCCCAAGCGUUGUUCGGAUUCACUGGGCGUAAAGGGUGCGUAGGUGGCGGCGCAAGUUUGAUGUGAAAUCUCCGGGCUUAACCCGGAAACUGCAUUGAAUACUGUACUGCUAGAGGGUCGGAGGGGAGACUGGAAUUCUCGGUGUAGCAGUGAAAUGCGGAGAUAUCGGGGGGAGCACCAGUGGCGAUAGCAAGUCUCUGUUCGACUCCUUACUCUGAGGCGCGAAAGUUAGGGGAUCAAACAG
rnacentral:rRNA from 1 species